rnacentral:rRNA from 1 species
UUCCGGUUGAUCCUGCCGGACCCGACCGCUAUCGGGGUAGGGUUAAGCCAUGGGAGUCGUACACCCCCGGGAAGGGGGUGUGGCGGACGGCUGAGUAACACGUGGCUAACCUACCCUCGGGACGGGGAUAACCCCGGGAAACUGGGGAUAAUCCCCGAUAGGGGAAGAGUCCUGGAACGGUUCUUCCCCUAAAGGGCUAUGAGCUGUUCCCGCUCAUAGCCGCCCGAGGAUGGGGCUGCGGCCCAUCAGGCUGUUGGCGGGGUAAAGGCCCGCCAAACCUAUAACGGGUAGGGGCCGUGGGAGCGGGAGCCCCCAGUUGGGCACUGAGACAAGGGCCCAGGCCCUACGGGGCGCACCAGGCGCGAAACGUCCCCAAUGCGCGAAAGCGUGAGGGCGCUACCCCGAGUGCCUCCGAAAGGAGGCUUUUCCCCGCUCUAAUAAGGCGGGGGAAUAAGCGGGGGGCAAGUCUGGUGUCAGCCGCCGCGGUAAUACCAGCUCCGCGAGUGGUCGGGGCGCUUACUGGGCCUAAAGCGCCUGUAGCCGGCCCACCAAGUUACCCCUUAAAGACCCGAGCUCAACUCGGGGACUGGGGGUAAUACUGGUGGGCUAGGGGGCGGGAGAGGCGGGAGGUACUCCCGGAGUAGGGGCGAAAUCCGUAGAUACCGGGAGGACCACCAGUGGCGGAGGCGUCCCGCUAGAACGCGCCCGACGGUGAGAGGCGAAAGCCGGGGCAGCAAACGGGAUUAGAUACCCCGGUAGUCCCGGCUGUAAACGAUGCGGGCUAGGUGUCAGACGGGCUUAGAGCCCGUCUGGUGCCGCAGGGAAGCCGUUAAGCCCGCCGCCUGGGGAGUACGGUCGCAAGACUGAAACUUAAAGGAAUUGGCGGG